rnacentral:rRNA from 1 species
UACGUAGGGGGCAAGCGUUAUCCGGAAUUACUGGGUGUAAAGGGUGCGUAGGCGGUAAUGCAAGUCAGAUGUGAAAGCCCAGGGCUCAACCUUGGGACUGCAUUUGAAACUGUGUAACUAGAGUGCAGGAGAGGUAAGUGGAAUUCCUAGUGUAGCGGUGAAAUGCGUAGAUAUUAGGAGGAACACCAGUGGCGAAGGCGGCUUACUGGACUGUAACUGACGCUGAGGCACGAAAGCGUGGGGAG